UCAAAUUAAUUGGCUAACAUAAAAAUUAAUUUAAAAUAUACAAAAUGGUAAGCUUUUUUAGAAUAGUUUGCAAGAGCAUAAAUAUAAACACAAGUCUAUAAAAGUGGACUGUUGAGUAGUUUAUUGUCUCUGACAACCUAAAAACAUAAAAGCUUAAAUUAAUUGUAAACAAUGCUUAUUUGCCAUUUAGGAGACUGUUGACAAGCAAGGUCUGGUGUGGUUGUUGAAGGAAGCGCUUAAUAAGCUGAAGGACACAGCAGUCAGCUAUACCAACAAAGCAGCUCUGUCUGACGACUCACCUGUGGUUAACAGGCAGGUAAAAGAGGCAGAUAGUGAGGCGGGAGUCAGUACAGAAGCUGCAGAAGCAGUAAGAUCCACCAUGGAACGUGUUCUGGCUGCAUGGGAGUCCUACAAAGACUGCCUGUAUCUAUUACAGGUCUGGCUGGGGCAGGAGAAACAAUCAGAGGCUCAAGAGGUACUAUUAAGUAUUUGUCAUUAAAACACAUGCUACAAAGUAUACAGUGACCCAAAAAAUGUUUGAACACCUAAGUAUGAAUGUCAUUUAGUUAUCUUUGUUGAGAUGUUUAGUAAUUUCAAGUCAUGAGGUGAGGGCACGAUGUUUGUAUGUGGUUGCUUUUUUUAGAAGUUAAUUUGUCAAUUGUCUUGUGAUCUCUUUCAUAAUACAGCACAAGCAUUUUUCCUCCAGCCUGAAUGAGUGGAGAUCACGUCAAGCCCAGCUGAACGAGGCAGGAAACUUUCUCAUUGAGAUGAGUGAGGCCUCCACCAGCCACUCUCUGAUCGAAGAGCUCCGCAAACUGAACAUGCAGUGGGCUGACUUCAUAAAAAGGACCAAGUUUGUGAGUUUGUAGAGACAGAACACUAGUUUUCAGCAGGGUUCAAAAUUAACACUUACCACCAAUUGCAUUAUAUAUUAUUUGAGUAUGAGAACAAAAUAUGUUUGUACUGGCAACAGAAAAGGUGAUGUAGGUGUUUCUCACAAAAUAAGGAAAAAGCUAAAUAUAUCCCAUUGUUAAAGACCGAAAUAAUGCAAAAUAAAGUUCCAUAACUGGUAAGAAAUAUUUAUGGC
ensembl:lncRNA